rnacentral:rRNA from 1 species
AAUUCGCCCUUAGAGUUUGAUCAUGGCUCAGGAUAAACGCUGGCGGUAGACGUAACACAUGCAAGUCGAACGAGAUGCUUUCGAGCAUCGAGUGGCGGACGGGUGAGUAACACGUAAGAAUCUGCCUUCAGGACAGGGACAACAGUUGGAAACGACUGCUAAUACCUGAUAUGCCUAUCAGUGAAAUGGAGCAAUCCGCCUGAAGAUGAGCUUGCGUCCGAUUAGCUAGUUGGUGAGGUAACGGCUCACCAAGGCGACGAUCGGUAGCUGGUCUGAGAGGAUGACCAGCCACACUGGGACUGAGACACGGCCCAGACUCCUACGGGAGGCAGCAGUGAGGAAUUUUCCGCAAUGGGCGAAAGCCUGACGGAGUCAUACCGCGUGAGGGAAGACGCUCUAGGGAGUGUAAACCUCUUUUAUCAAGGAAGAAGUACUGACGGUACUUGAUGAAUCAGCCUCGGCUAACUCCGUGCCAGCAGCCGCGGUAAUACGGAGGAGGCAAGCGUUAUCCGGAAUUAUUGGGCGUAAAGCGUCCGUAGGUGGUUUGGUCAGUCUGUUGUUAAAGCUCGAGGCUCAACCUCGAAGGGGCAAUGGAAACUACCAGACUUGAGAGCAGUAGGGGCAGAGGGAAUUCCCAGAGUAGCGGUGAAAUGCGUAGAGAUUGGGAAGAACACCGGUGGCGAAAGCGCUCUGCUGGGCUGCGACUGACACUGAGGGACGAAAGCUAGGGGAGCGAAACGGAUUAGAUACCCGUGUAGUCCUAGCUGUAAACGAUGGAUACUCGAUGUGGUGGGGAUCGACCCCUGCCGUGUCCAAGCUAACGCGAUAAGUAUCCCGCCUGGGGAGUACGUGCGCAAGCAUGAAACUCAAAGGAUUGACGGGGACCCGCACAAGCGGUGGAGGAUGUGGUUUAUUCGAUGCAACGCGAAGAACCUUACCAGGGUUUGACAUGUCGCGAAUCU